GACGGGCUGCCCACUCGCCACCGGGGCUACGGGACGGGGGCCCGGGGGGUCCAGGGGCCCGGCCCGGCGUGGCGGCGCGACGCGGGCAGCCGACCAGUGUUGCGAGCGAACUCGCGCGAGCAUCGAGAGUCCGAGCAUCCGAACGAGCCGCGUGUUAUCGUUCCCGCGCGCGUCAAGUGUCGCAUGUGCCCUGUGUCACCAAGUGUUGUGUCAAGUGACCCCAAGGAGUGAUUAUCCACCACUGAGAUUACCUUUCAUGCAGGUGCGGUUUAAGUUGAAAUUUACAAAAAUCAAGUACAGAAUUUCACGUGAGUACAUUAAGUCGUUUUCAGGGGAAAAGGGAUGAAGGCAUUGUUAGGGAGCUUUCUCCUUGAUCUUUUAAUAAUUUUGAUAAUCAUUUCUUAUCUGUAUAGAAUAUAAAUUUUGACAUACAUAAGUGUGCGUUUUCAAUAUUAUUCAUUAACUUGAAAAAUGAAUCUAGGUAUAGAAAUAGUUUUCAAUUUGCAUGCGGAUUAUUACAGGGAGAAUGCGAAUUCGUGUUAUAUUAGCAAGCAGUUUAUUCUAUUUGUGUUGAAGGUUCCUCCUGUAUAAUUAAUAAUACACAUUUAAGAGAGAAUGUUGCGUUGAUCCUUGAAAGUCAUUGUUUGUUUAACGCAGAAUGAAUUUGUUCAUGCGGCAGGGCGAAAACCUUUCAAAUAGGCCUCUAAGGGACUCAAGACUAUUAUCCCAGAAAACGUUACAAACUUUAAAAUUAGACUGAUUCAGGGGGAAACACGCCGAUGAGAUUAAACUUUGUUGAAUAGUGGCUCUCUCCGUUCAAAAUUUGCCAAAUGAAGAAGUUAAAUUCGCGUGGAAAUUCUCAUCGGAAUAAGAUGACUUUUAUUGAUAUCCCUCCUGUCGCCGAAAACAUUAAUAGACUCGGACGUAUUUUCAUCUUAUCGAUCGUGUUGUCCUUUCUUCGCAAACAAUAGGGCGUAUUUACGCUAAAAAGGAACUAGAUAUAGGGAAUUGAAUGGAAAGGAGCUACGUACAUAGGAUUUACAUUAGGCGCUUCAUGACUCUUUCCGAAUCAAUUCAUUUGAGACAAAAAAUAGCACAAGAACUAAUUAGAAUUAACUUUCAAGCUCUAACUCUAAUUUUAAGUAAUCCUGGCUUUUUGAUGUCCCUAAAAAUAAUGUGAACUCAGCUUGGCCUUGCUAAGGAAAAACGCCGUAUGAACAUUCGAGAAUUCCCAAAUUUCCCUCGUUAAAAUGUUCAUUUUUGAGGAAAGUUAUGAAUAUUUUUCCUUCAAAUUUUCAGAACCUUUAGGUAAAAUUUUGAACUUAAUUAUCUGAAAAAUUGGGAGGAAAAUAUUCAUAAAUUUACCAGGAAAUUUGCGUUUCAUGAAAGAAAAUUUAGCAACGUCUGAAGGUUUAUACGGAGCUUUUCCUUAGCAUGACAGAGCUCUAUUCUGCUAUCCUGCGUUUUACCUGCGCGGUCACAUUAGGAUUCUAUGAUUAAUGUCACAUAGAAUCGAGUUCUCAGCUCCACACGGCAGUCAUCGCUCAGUGUGAAAGAGACCUUGG
rnacentral:lncRNA from 1 species